rnacentral:lncRNA from 1 species
AUGCCCGUUACAGUGUGGGGGUGCGUGGGGAGGCGGCGUGCCCAGGGGUGCCCGUUACAGUGUGGGUGCGUGUGGAGGCGGCGUGCCCGGGGGUGUCCGUUACAGUGUGGGGGCGUGUGGAGGCUGCGUGCCCAGGGAUGCCCGUUACAGUGGGGGGGUGCGUGUGGAGGCGGCGUGCCCGGGGGUGUCCGUUACAGUGUGGGGGCGUGUGGAGGCUGCGUGCCCAGGGAUGCCCGUUACAGUGGGGGGGUGCGUGUGGAGGCGGCGUGCCCGGGGGUGUCCGUUACAGUGUGGGGGCGUGUGGAGGCUGCGUGCCCAGGGAUGCCCGUUACAGUGGGGGGGUGCGUGUGGAGGCGGCGUGCCCGGGGGUGUCCGUUACAGUGUGGGGGCGUGUGGAGGCUGCGUGCCCAGGGAUGCCCGUUACAGUGGGGGGGUGCGUGUGGAGGCGGCGUGCCCGGGGGUGUCCGUUACAGUGUGGGGGCGUGUGGAGGCUGCGUGCCCAGGGAUGCCCGUUACAGUGGGGGGGUGCGUGUGGAGGCGGCGUGCCCGGGGGUGUCCGUUACAGUGUGGGGGCGUGUGGAGGCUGCGUGCCCAGGGAUGCCCGUUACAGUGGGGGGGUGCGUGUGGAGGCGGCGUGCCCGGGGGUGUCCGUUACAGUGUGGGGGCGUGUGGAGGCUGCGUGCCCAGGGAUGCCCGUUACAGUGGGGGGGUGCGUGUGGAGGCGGCGUGCCCGGGGGUGUCCGUUACAGUGUGGGGGCGUGUGGAGGCUGCGUGCCCAGGGAUGCCCGUUACAGUGGGGGGGUGCGUGUGGAGGCGGCGUGCCCGGGGGUGUCCGUUACAGUGUGGGGGCGUGUGGAGGCUGCGUGCCCAGGGAUGCCCGUUACAGUGGGGGGGUGCGUGUGGAGGCGGCGUGCCCGGGGGUGUCCGUUACAGUGUGGGGGCGUGUGGAGGCUGCGUGCCCAGGGAUGCCCGUUACAGUGGGGGGGUGCGUGUGGAGGCGGCGUGCCCGGGGGUGUCCGUUACAGUGUGGGGGCGUGUGGAGGCUGCGUGCCCAGGGAUGCCCGUUACAGUGGGGGGGUGCGUGUGGAGGCGGCGUGCCCGGGGGUGUCCGUUACAGUGUGGGGGCGUGUGGAGGCUGCGUGCCCAGGGAUGCCCGUUACAGUGGGGGGGUGCGUGUGGAGGCGGCGUGCCCGGGGGUGUCCGUUACAGUGUGGGGGCGUGUGGAGGCUGCGUGCCCAGGGAUGCCCGUUACAGUGGGGGGGUGCGUGUGGAGGCGGCGUGCCCGGGGGUGUCCGUUACAGUGUGGGGGCGUGUGGAGGCUGCGUGCCCAGGGAUGCCCGUUACAGUGGGGGGGUGCGUGUGGAGGCGGCGUGCCCGGGGGUGUCCGUUACAGUGUGGGGGCGUGUGGAGGCUGCGUGCCCAGGGAUGCCCGUUACAGUGGGGGGGUGCGUGUGGAGGCGGCGUGCCCGGGGGUGUCCGUUACAGUGUGGGGGCGUGUGGAGGCUGCGUGCCCAGGGAUGCCCGUUACAGUGGGGGGGUGCGUGUGGAGGCGGCGUGCCCGGGGGUGUCCGUUACAGUGUGGGGGCGUGUGGAGGCUGCGUGCCCAGGGAUGCCCGUUACAGUGGGGGGGUGCGUGUGGAGGCGGCGUGCCCGGGGGUGUCCGUUACAGUGUGGGGGCGUGUGGAGGCUGCGUGCCCAGGGAUGCCCGUUACAGUGGGGGGGUGCGUGUGGAGGCGGCGUGCCCGGGGGUGUCCGUUACAGUGUGGGGGCGUGUGGAGGCUGCGUGCCCAGGGAUGCCCGUUACAGUGGGGGGGUGCGUGUGGAGGCGGCGUGCCCGGGGGUGUCCGUUACAGUGUGGGGGCGUGUGGAGGCUGCGUGCCCAGGGAUGCCCGUUACAGUGGGGGGGUGCGUGUGGAGGCGGCGUGCCCGGGGGUGUCCGUUACAGUGUGGGGGCGUGUGGAGGCUGCGUGCCCAGGGAUGCCCGUUACAGUGGGGGGGUGCGUGUGGAGGCGGCGUGCCCGGGGGUGUCCGUUACAGUGUGGGGGCGUGUGGAGGCUGCGUGCCCAGGGAUGCCCGUUACAGUGGGGGGGUGCGUGUGGAGGCGGCGUGCCCGGGGGUGUCCGUUACAGUGUGGGGGCGUGUGGAGGCUGCGUGCCCAGGGGUGUCCGUUACAGUGUGUGUGGACACUGUGUGCCCAGGACACAUCAGAGCCUGUUCAGCUGA